AAUAAGGUGCCUGAUUAAAGGGUUAUUUUGAUAGAAUAGAUUAUGUGAGCUUGCUCACCCUCAUUA
rnacentral:tRNA from 1 species